UUGCAGCCAGAUCACAUUGAAACAUUGGUUCCCAUACAAUCACCAAAGUUAAACAACAUCGAGCCUGGUCAGUACUUAGAUGGGUAACCACCUGGGAAUAUCAUGUGUUGUAAG